GUUUCCGUAGUGUAGUGGUUAUCACGUUGGCUUUACACGCGAAAAGUCCCCCGUUUGAAACUGGGCGGAAACA